CUGAGCGAUGACGUAUGCGCGUCUACCUGUGACGUUUGUCACCUGCACCUGCGCAGCUGGAGGCAAAAGAUCUGCUCUGCUCCAGCAUGGCACGCAGCGACUACGAGGCCGUCCGUCUCAGAGCUUCUUCCUCUUUGCCUCAUUGACAUGCACGACCACAACUUUGUAGUGUGAGAAAAUGAGACGCACCGUGAGACGGGCGCAAGCUUCUUCCUUCUGCUCUCUGCGGUCGACGUUUCCUGCUCCUUUUUAUUAAGCCCAAGAAAACUUUUGAAAAGACAA